rnacentral:lncRNA from 1 species
CUUGGCUGCAGGAGUCAUUGGCUGUGCCAGCACAGCAGCGCUCAAGGGCUGUGGGAACGUUCAGGGUGGCUUGUACCAGUUGGUUCUUUGAAGUUCAGUAAAUUCUUGCGUUGGUGCAAGCUGGCCACAGCGGUGUGUGCAGCGCUGUGCCCUGCAGUGGCACCUGUGUGAGGAGUCACGGGCAGCUGCAGUGCCAGAGCUGGGCUGGCUGGGGGCACCUCUGGAGGGGCCUUCUGUCCCCACAUGUGCUCUGGCUCCGCACAUCCGAGAGCAAAAGCUGAGAAACACCACACUUGUUUCUUUCUGAAACCUACCAGAGCAAUACCCGUUUAUUUCCCCUGGUGAGAUGCAGCUUCUCACUUCCAGGUCCUGGCAGCUGACAGCUGUGCCGGCCUGGCUGUGACCCCGCGCACAGCCGCGGAUGGCCGCGUUCUUCAGGGAGCUGAGCUUGUCAGGUGACGGCAUUAACCACCUGCGACACACUUCUAUCUCAGUUUUUUUUUUCUUUUCUUCUGUGAAGCCUUCUCAAGGCUGGCUGCAGGACUGCGCUCCAGUAAGGCAUCAGGAGAGGCACACGGCUUGCUUCCCAAGGCGAGAGGUCCCUGCUGUCCUGCCCGGCCUUUCACAGCUGCUGGAGCCGCACAAAGAGCUGCAGCCACGUCCCCGGCGCCGCGUCCCGCCCCUCUGCACCCGCAGCACAGCCGGGCAGCCGCUGUGGCGACAGCGACGGGCGACAGGAGCCACGCGUUCUGCAGCAGCCUCGCGGGGAGGGAGCAGCCCCGGCGCUGCGGCGGCAGCCCGGGACGGGGGGCGGCACGGCGCGAGAGCCCGAGCGAAGGGAAACCGGUCCGAGAAAGCCGAUCCUGGGCUGCGGGGAUGGUCCGGAACCGGGAGGGGAACGAGAACGGGAAUGGGAACGGGACCGGGACCGGGACCGGGAACGGGAACGGGAAUGGGAACGGGACCGGGACCGGGAACGAGAACGGGAAUGGGAACGGGACCGGGAACGAGAACGGGAACGGGAAUGGGAACGGGACCGGGACCGGGACCGGGAACGAGAACGGGAAUGGGAACGGGACCGGGACCGGGACCGGGACCGGGACCGGGAACGAGAACGGGAAUGGGAACGGGAAUGGGAACGGGACCGGGAACGGGACCGGGCGGGGGUGGUGCGGGGCAGCUCCGCCCUGCCCCACAGCGCCGCCUCGCGGCCGCCGCCGACCCUGCAGGUCCCGCUGCGCCACGGCUGGACCCGC